UACAAAUGAAGGCUUCUGAGG
rnacentral:piRNA from 1 species